AUUGAACGCUGGCGGCAGGCCUAACACAUGCAAGUCGAACGAGUGGCGGACGGGUGAGUAAUGUCUGGGAAACUGCCUGAUGGAGGGGUAUAACAACUGGAAACGGUAACUACUACCGCAUACCAUCAGAUGUGCCAAGGUGGGAUUAGCUAGUUGGUGGGGUACAGGCUCACCAAGCCGACGAUCCCUAGCUGGUCUGAGAGGAUGACCAGCCACACUGGGACUGAGACACGGUCCAGACUCCUACGGGAGGCAGCAGUGGGGAAUAUUGCACAAUGGGCGCAACCCUGAUGCAGCCAUGCCGCGUGUAUGAAGAAGGCCUUCGGGUUGUAAAGUACUUUCAGCGGGGAGGCGUUACCCGCAGAAGAAGCACCGGCUAACUCCGUGCCAGCAGCCGCGGUAAUUC
rnacentral:rRNA from 1 species